rnacentral:rRNA from 1 species
UACGUAGGUGGCAAGCGUUGUCCGGAUUUACUGGGCGUAAAGGAUGCGUAGGCGGACAUUUAAGUCAGAUGUGAAAUACCCGAGCUUAACUUGGGUGCUGCAUUUGAAACUGGGUGUCUAGAGUGCAGGAGAGGUAAGUGGAAUUCCUAGUGUAGCGGUGAAAUGCGUAGAGAUCGUAAGGAAGACCAGUGGCGAAGGCGGGUCUCUGGACAGUUCCUGACACUGAGGCACGAAGGCCAGGGGAGCAAACGGG